GAUGAACGCUGGCGGCGUGCCUAAUACAUGCAAGUCGAGCGAACAGAUGAGGAGCUUGCUCCUCUGACGUUAGCGGCGGACGGGUGAGUAACACGUGGAUAACCUACCUAUAAGACUGGGAUAACUUCGGGAAACCGGAGCUAAUACCGGAUAAUAUAUUGAACCGCAUGGUUCAAUAGUGAAAGACGGUUUUGCUGUCACUUAUAGAUCGAUCCGCGCCGCAUUAGCUAGUUGGUAAGGUAACGGCUUACCAAGGCAACGAUGCGUAGCCGACCUGAGAGGGUGAUCGGCCACACUGGAACUGAGACACGGUCCAGACUCCUACGGGAGGCAGCAGUAGGGAAUCUUCCGCAAUGGGCGAAAGCCUGACGGAGCAACGCCGCGUGAGUGAUGAAGGUCUUCGGAUCGUAAAACUCUGUUAUUAGGGAAGAACAAAUGUGUAAGUAACUAUGCACGUCUUGACGGUACCUAAUCAGAAAGCCACGGCUAACUACGUG
rnacentral:rRNA from 1 species